GAUAUCACCGCUAAUUAAGUCCUGAUCCCCUGGCUCCACUUGAAACAAACCAAGGAGGGAUCAAGUUUUGCGAGCAGGUGCUAACUGGUUGCAAAAGAGGAGUCCAUCACUUCAGCAAAAGGUUUCACUGUACCUUGGGGAGGACACAGCUUUUCUGAGGAAAGUCAUUACUGGACAGAGCCAUAGGCUCUUAUUUUGUCUUAGGACACGGAGGAGCUUGUAAAAAACAAAAAAACACAAAAAACAAUCCUCCGCUGUGACAAACAACUGUUUUCCUUUCCUGUGUUUUCCCCUUGAUGGCUGAUUUACUUUCUCCUCAGAUGGACAAUGGAGUAAUUUACAGUCUUCACAGGAAUGUAGGCGAUUAGCCACGGAGCCCUUCUCUGUCUAGCAUCAGGCAUCAGACGCCCAACUAUACAGAGGCCAUUUGAAUGGAACUGCAGAAUAAUCUUCAGAAGAAAAAGCAAGCUCACAUGAGUGGCAGCAGCCCAUUGUGCUGAGUUAAAGACGCUGGAGAGAGUCUGGUUGGCGGUGGGGAGGUGUGGUGUUGAUGACAAUGAUGGGGCCGUGGCUGGAGAGGUUAAUGUCAGUCUCACAGACCCUGUGUGUGGAAAUUGAGUAACAGAAAAAUUAACUUGCCAAGAUAACACAGCUAGUAAAUAGUAGAGCUGUGAUUUGAAGCCAGGCAGUGAACUUCAGAAAUCCUUUCUGUUGAUGUGGGGAGUGGAGGACUCCAGACCCUGCCCAUUUGGCCUUGCCUCGUCUCUUUUUACUCUAGAAAAUGCUGUGGCUCUAUCAAAUACAGCUCAAAAAGCUACUCAUCCAGUUCAACUCUCUCCUUUGAAAGAUGAAGAUAUUGAGACCCAGAGAGGUGGAUACCCUGAGGUGGAGAAGAGACUGAAUAUGCCCACUGCAUCCAAAGCAAGGCUGGAGCUGACUUGAGCUUACUUGGCUUCAUAAAGCUUGAACACCAUAGAUGCUUUUAUAUGUCUUUCCUGUUCGAUUACUCUGGAUAGAGUGUGCUACUCCUAACACAAAGCAAAACCAAACCAAAAAACAAACCUCUCUUUUUCAUUUCCUUAAAGAAAAAAGAAAUUUAAUUUGGAUUCAGAUAAUACCCUUAUAACUUCUAAGGCAGUCAAGCAAGGAGGGGAACAGAUAAUUAGGAGAUGAUGGGAGCCAGCACAAAGCCAAAUGGAAGAAAACAGGCACACAGUAAGGCGGCAAAAGCCACCACCUAAUCCAUUAACAGCCUGCACUAUAAUUACGCUUGGCUCUGGCAUUAAACUGGUGAAAGCACAAAGGAGACACUAUUAAAGUCUUAAUUCCCACAAAAGGAAGCUCAUCCUGUGUAACAGCAAGUACUGUGCACCAAAGCGGCACCUAAAUGAAUAUUAUGGCAAAUUCUAAUUUAGCACUUAGUAGGAGCAUUCCACAAAAUUGCAAAAAUAAAGAGGAAGAAAGCUGAACGUGGUAAUUCAUGCCUGUAGUCCCAGCUACUCAGGAGGCUGAGGCAGGAGGAUUGCCUGAGCCCAAGAGUUUGAGGCUAGCCUGGACAACAUAGCAAGACUUUCAUCUCUACACAAAAUUAUUAGCUGGAUGUGGUGGCAUGUACCUGUAGUACCAGCUGGUCGAGAGGCUGAGACAAGAAGAUUGCUUGAGCCCAGGAGUUCAAAGUCAGCCUGGGCAACAUAGCGAGACCCUGUUUCUCAAAAAUAAUUAGAAAAAUAAAUAAAGGAGAAGAAAAGACUAGGUGGUGUUUCUUUAAAGGCAGUUCUUGCUGUUGCUCUAUGGGUUCACUUUCUCCCCAACCCCCAACCUUCUCAACCUUUCUCCAACCUCUCCAGCCCUCCCCAGCCCUCCCCAGCCUGUGUCUCUGCCCUCCCCAACCCCUCAUCGUCAGAUGGUUUUAAGCAUGUGGCUUCCUGAAAGCUGUGGGUCAGGAGGUAGCAGCAGGCCAAGUCUUCCUCCUUCGGCAGAAGGAGGAGCAGUGUGAGGUGCAAGUGGGCAGAGGCAGAGACUGAAAGUUCUUGAGGAGAACAGGUGUGAGGCCACAGGAAGCUCCACCAGGCACCUGGCUGCACAGUGACUUUUGCAGUGACAGUGCUUCAGCCUCCUUCCACGGGACCGCAGGAUUCAAAAUGGCAUCACCUCCACUUCUGUCAAUACAUCCGCAAGAGGGCUAGCA
rnacentral:lncRNA from 1 species